UGACAGGCAUUACCCACCACUUCCAUUGUAGUAGACUCUUAAUCAUCAUGACUCCUCUGCAAUGUUUCAGUUGGAACACAACUGCCUCCAAAUGGGUGUGUGUGGUUAGAGUUACAGGAUAUUAAAUGUGAUCUUUCUUUUCAUUACAGAGUUUCAGCUGAGAACAAUAGGACGAGACCACCUACGUAGGAUGGGCUAAGCAUCGUGAGACAGGAGGCACUGAUGUCUUAGAGGACUUAACUUCUAUCUGCUGUCUCCUGAAGAUACUCAAGGAUCCUCAGAAGCCACAUUUUUCCUUUCCACCCAGAAAUUAUUUUCCUAAGCAUUCUGCUCCUCCUCUGACCUGGAAGGGUCUGCCAUCUUCUUCCAGUCAUUUUCAAGCUUCAGAUCCUACCCUAUUGAAGCUCUGUUCUGUUUUGCUCUCUACCUGCAACAUACUGGUCUUAGGAGCAGGUGCUCUGACCCCACCUUUCAUGCCUGAAGCAAAUACCACAAUAUUCCAGAGGCAGGAUUCUGUCACCCUUAUUGUCCAAAGAAAGCACCAGAAUCAUCCCACGCCGUGGCUCAACUCAAAACCACUUAGGGACUAAGCCUCAAGUGCUACCCCUAAAAGGACAGGCUAUAGGACUUGCUGGGGUGGUGACUGUCUCUAAAAUAUUCUGGCCAAUCCACACCUCUGGAAAAUCUUUAAUUUCAAUAAAAUGAGCCUAUAUCUAACAUCUGUUAUCCAGAUUAACAAGACAUAAAUUUUAUCCAUGAAAAUGCUUUUCUGACAGUUGAUAUGUUAAUUAAUGAAGUUUCUG
rnacentral:lncRNA from 1 species